GGCCUCGUGGUGCAAUGGUAGCGCGUCUGACUCCAGAUCAGAAGGUUGCGUGUUCAAAUCACGUCGGGGUCA